CGACCGGCGCACGGGUGCGUAACGCGUAUGCAACCUACCUUUAACAGGGGGAUAACACUGAGAAAUUGGUACUAAUACCCCAUAAUAUCAUAGAAGGCAUCUUUUAUGGUUCGAAAAUUCCGAUGGUUAGAGAUGGGCAUGCGUUGUAUUAGCUAGUUGGUGGGGUAACGGCUCACCAAGGCGACGAUACAUAGGGGGACUGAGAGGUUAACCCCCCACACUGGUACUGAGACACGGACCAG
rnacentral:rRNA from 1 species